CGAGAUAUAUAGUGGCAAGUGUAAUAGAAAGCAUGAUAUCGGAGUAUAUUUUUCGAUGUGUUUUUUUUUUUUUUUUCGAUGUGUUAACUAUAGUGCAAGAGCCAAAAGAAAAACUAAUGGAUAAUAACGUAACGCAUAAAAAAGAGAGUAAAAGACACAAAGGAGAUUUAUUUUCUUAAGAAGUUUAUACAAAUCCUGGUCCCUUGCCUUACAGAAUCACUAAUUAUCUUGUUCAUCAAACGACUUUUGGGCAAACCAUAACUUGCACAACUUAAAAAAAAA
rnacentral:lncRNA from 1 species